rnacentral:rRNA from 1 species
GACGAACGCUGGCGGCGUGCUUAACACAUGCAAGUCGAACGGAAAGGCCCUGCUUUUGUGGGGUGCUCGAGUGGCGAACGGGUGAGUAACACGUGAGUAACCUGCCCUUGACUUUGGGAUAACUUCAGGAAACUGGGGCUAAUACCGGAUAGGAGCUCCUGCUGCAUGGUGGGGGUUGGAAAGUUUCGGCGGUUGGGGAUGGACUCGCGGCUUAUCAGCUUGUUGGUGGGGUAGUGGCUUACCAAGGCUUUGACGGGUAGCCGGCCUGAGAGGGGGACCGGCCACAAUGGGACUGCGAUACGGCCCAGACUCCUACGGGAGGCAGUAGGGGGGAAUAUUGCAGAAUGGGCGGGAGCCAGAUGCAGCAACGCCGCGUGCGUGAUGACGGCCUUCGGGUGGUAAACCGCUUUCGCCUGUGACGAAGCGUGAGUGACGGUAACGGGUAAAGAAGCACCGGCUAACUACGUG